rnacentral:rRNA from 1 species
CAGCAGCCGCGGUAAUACGUAGGUGGCAAGCGUUGUCCGGAAUUAUUGGGCGUAAAGGGCUCGCAGGCGGUUUCUUAAGUCUGAUGUGAAGGCCCCCGGCUCAACCGGGGAGGGUCAUUGGAAACUGGGAAACUUGAGUGCAGAAGAGGAGAGUGGAGUUCCACGUGUAGCGGUGAAAUGCGUAGAGAUGUGGAGGAACACCAGUGGCGAAGGCGACUCUCUGGUCUGUAACUGACGCUGAGGAGCGAAAGCGUGGGGAGCGAACAGGAUUAGAUACCCCGGUAGUCCCUGUCUCUUAUAC